CNCCCNCCNCNCGCGGCGGGCGGGGCNGGGGCCAUAUCCAAUAAGCGGAGGAAAAGAAACUAACAAGGAUUCCCCUAGUAGCGGCGAGCGAAGCGGGAAGAGCUCAAAUUUAUAAUCUGGCACCUUCGGUGUCCGAGUUGUAAUCUCUAGAAGUGUUUUCCGCGUUGGACCGCACACAAGUCUGUUGGAAUACAGCGGCAUAGUGGUGAAACCCCCGUAUAUGGUGCGGACGCCCAGCGCUUUGUGAUACACUUUCAAUGAGUCGAGUUGUUUGGGAAUGCAGCUCAAAUUGGGUGGUAAAUUCCAUCUAAAGCUAAAUAUUGGCGAGAGACCGAUAGCGAACAAGUACCGUGAGGGAAAGAUGAAAAGCACUUUGGAAAGAGAGUUAACAGUACGUGAAAUUGUUGGAAGGGAAACGCUUGAAGUCAGACUUGCUUGCCGGAGCUUGCUUCGGUUUGCAGGCCAGCAUCAGUUUUCCGGGGUGGAUAAUGACGGUUUGAAGGUAGCAGUCUCGGCUGUGUUAUAGCUUUCCGUUGGAUACAUCCUGGGGGACUGAGGAACGCAGCGUGCUUUUUGCGAAAGACUCGUNNGGUCAGGCUAGGAUGCUGGGAAUGCUAAACUGGUUGUG
rnacentral:rRNA from 1 species